rnacentral:rRNA from 1 species
UACAGAGGUCCCGAGCGUUGUUCGGAUUCAUUGGGCGUAAAGCGUGCGCAGGCGGUUUUGUAAGCCAGAUGUGAAAUCCCCGGGCUCAACCUGGGAAUGGCAUUUGGGACUGCAAGGCUGGAGUGCGGCAGAGGAGACUGGAAUUCCUGGUGUAGCAGUGAAAUGCGUAGAUAUCAGGAGGAAUACCGAUGGCGAAGGCAGGUCUCUGGGCUGACACUGACGCUCAUGCACGAAAGCGUGGGGAGCAACAGG